UUUCAUCUUCUCUUUUUCAUUGCUGUUCGGCUUCGUUGGUGCAGAGAUUGCACGCGUCUGCUUCUUCGGCUCAUUCGUGGCUGUUCGACUUCGCUCCUUCGACGACUUUCCCUUGCUGUCGGAUCGGAAGUUACGACAUUUUGAUCGGAAGCAAGAACAGGAGCUCGCUGGCUGUGAAGGUUGAAUAUGACCAUCGUGGAUUUUUGCUUGAUUCUUUGAAUGACGCACUUGCUACUUAACUAGUAGUAAAGUCAGCGAAGAUAGGAAGGAUGUUAGAAGCUGAUGAACUGUCCCCAGUUGCAAGGAAGCGGCCAGCACUUGCUCCGAAGGCACUUAUACAUCAGAAGUUCGGUAACCAAGCGUCGUACAGGAUUGAAGAAGUGAGGCAGCCUCUUGAGAACAAUUGUCCUGGUCUGGCUUUGGCACAACAGACCCGGAGUCUAUAUAGAUGCUAUUUGGAUCUUCCAGAGUUGUCUGUUAUUUCAGACGCAUUACCAAAAAAGAAGGAUGCUGAGCAUGCUGCUGCAAAAAUUGCUAUAGAAAAGUUAGGUAUUCAAUCUAAGGUAGACAAUCUUACCCCUCGGGAAGCAAUGGAUGAACUAGUUUUACGUUUAGGUGGCUUCUUCACAGAUGAGUUCCUUUCUUCAACCCAUCCUCUGGUUGGACACAUCAAAUUUGCACUUAGUAGAGUCGGUGAGCGUUUUGGUAUGAUUCCAAUGUCUGUAAUUGCUACAUGUGACACAAAAGUUAACAAUUUUUGCAAAGUCAUCAAUCCAAAGGCUGAAUCAGAUCCUCUCUUGGUUUUGUUGUUGAUCUUGAGGGCUGCCAAAAUGUCUGCAUCUAUCUGUAUUACUUAUGGCGAAUUUUGGAUAUGGAAGCAAGGGUCUUAUCCUACUGAGUUUGUUGAGUCAGUUAAGAAUCUUACUUCAGUAUCGACACAAAAGUCUUCGGUAGAAGCAAUUUUUAUUCCCAGCUUGCAUGAUAGAGAUGUUGAAACCUUGACUCUAAAUUUUUCGGAUAGCCUAUAUUACUUGGAUGAAAUUGCACAGAAACUGCAUGUCAGGGAUCCAUCCCGCAUCCUAGUGUCACGCACUGUUGGGAAGGCUUCUUCAGAAAUUAGAUUAUAUUUCUCUGCUCCAGAUGUACCUUUUUUAACUUCAGAUUCCUCGAUGGAAGUCCCAAUGAUCGAAGGAAAUGUUAAUUUGGACAAAAUCUUGAACGAACGAGCUUCCUACUUAUCUGGGCAAUGUAUUUAUGGAAAUGCAAUUAUGGCUCAUGUUGGAUAUACAUGGAAGUCCUCUAAUCUUUUCUUUGAAGACAUCUGGUUGAGUACGUAUUACAGAAUGAUUUUGGGAAAGUUGCCUGAUGGACAUUAUAAGCUGUCCAGAGAGGCAAUACUUAGUGCGGAACUGCCUGCUGUAUACACUACUCGCUCAAACUGGAAGGGCCCAACACCACGGGAUCUUCUUUGCUUUUUCUGCCUCCAGCACAGGCUAUUAGAUCCUCUUUUCUCUAUUAAAACACUUGACCAUACAGAAAUUUCUGUAGAGUCCUGUGAAGUUCAAAAAGAGUCAAAGUUAUCAAGGUCGGCUGAUGAAGUUGAGAAGGUAAACGGGGACAAAUCUGAUCCUAUCCGCAGAGAGUUGGGCAGGUCCAUUAGUGCCUUCCAAUGUGAAGUUAAAAUAUUAUCUAAGAGACAGGAUCCAGUGUUCAAAUGUUCUUUUGAUGAUACAUGCAGAAAGGAAUGUGAUGCAAUUCAGAGUGCCGCAUUAAAGGUUCUUUCAUGUUUCAAUAAGUACUUCAAGCAACCUGACAUGCCAAUUGAGAAGUUUUUCGAGCUUGAAAAUGGUCACAGCAUAGCUGUAUAUUCCAAAGAAUUUAUUCAAGAACUUGUGAAAUGUCCAUCAAUAUAUGAUAUUAAAAGGAAAAACAAGAGUUCUCGGUUACAUAUAUCUUCAAAUCAGUGUAGUACACAGUAUGAGAACGGUAUAAGUUGUAAAAUUGAUGGCCCGGAUUCUGGCAUUUUUCCAUCCCCAGGUUCUGUAAUUUGCAUAAGCUAUGUUGUUGUAUUAAUGGACAAGGAUACAACUUUGAAGGAAAUUUUAGAAAGCAAAGAUUCAUUUGAGUUUGAGAUAGGUACUGGUGCUGUGAUUAGUGAACUUGAAUCAUGUGUGAGUCAGCUGACGGUAAAUCAAUCUGCAAAGUUUGUUGUUGAAGUGCCUUCUAGGGACUUGAUCUUUAGUGCAGCUGGUCAAGCUGCCACGCAUCUUUCACAGUUAUCAUUACACAACUGCUUCUUGGAAUACUCUGUAAAGUUAUUGCACGUGACAGAACCUCUAGAGGACAGAAUUGAGCAGGCUUUAUUCAGUCCUCCUCUAUCUAAACAGAGAGUUGAGUUUGCGGUAGGGUAUAUCAAUCAAUUGCAUGCUACCAGCUUGGUGGAUUUUGGCUGUGGAUCAGGCAGCCUACUGGAUUCUCUAUUAGAUCAUCCUACUACUUUAGAAAAAGUUGCAGGUGUAGAUAUAUCACGCAAAAGUCUUAUUCGUGCUGCAAAGAUUCUACAUUUGAAAUUGAGUGCAAAUCUUUCGAGGCAAAAAAGCAUAAGAUCUACUAUACUAUAUGAUGGAUCAAUAACUGAUUUUGAUUCUCGCUUAUGUGAGUUUGACAUCGGUACUUGUUUAGAGGUCAUCGAGCACAUGGAAGAGGAUCAAGCUUGUUUGUUUGGUGAUGUCGUUCUAAGCUUCUUCUGUCCAGGAGUACUCAUAGUUUCUACACCCAACUUUGAGUACAACCCAAUUCUACAGAGAUCCUCAAUGCCAGGCAGGGAGGAUUCAGAAGAUAAACCCACUUCCAUUAAAUUUCGGAAUCAUGAUCACAAGUUUGAGUGGACAAGACAACAAUUUCAGCACUGGGCCAACAAUCUUGCAGUAAGGCACAAUUAUAGUGUUGAGUUUAGCGGAGUUGGAGGUUCAGCGGACAUUGAGCCGGGCUUUGCAUCUCAAAUUGCGGUUUUCAAAAGGUCUUCAAAUCUAUUCCAGAAGCAAUGCUUGAGAACGGAGCCAUCCGAACUCUAUGAAGUCAUCUGGGAAUGGAGUGCUGAUUCUGCUCCACUCUGAGCUUCUAAUUGGUUCUAUCGUAAUGACUGCAUGUGGCAUAUGAGAAGCAAUUUCGUUGGCAUUAUAUUGGUUCCAUGUUCAGGAAAUAAAUCAAUGCGCUUGAUAUGGUGGAAGUAGUAGGCGCACCAAGUGGACUCGGGAGCCACAUGACCACUCGGUCCAGCAAACUUCGCCACAGGUGGGGCUAGCAGACAGAGAGGGGGAGUCAGUUGAGGAGGUGGGGCCCAACAGAGAAUCAAAAUAUUAUAUUAGGAGAGAAUCAAUUAGGAAAUCAUUUGAUUUCCUAAUUGAAUUUUAAAUAGAUGAAGGUAACACAUUAGGAAGGAGGUUGAUUUAUGAGGGACGGAGAAUGCUUAUUUAAGUCUAAAGUUAGGGUUUAUUUUAUUCUUAUGCAGAAUUUUGUUUUGAGUGUUGUAAUUCUCUUGUGUGAGGGAUCCUGGCCGCGUGUAGGGAUUGGAAGAGAAGAUCCUUCUCUAAAAAGAGGAUCAUUAUAUCUUGCUUUGUUUGUAUUUGAUUUUCAAUCAAUAAAAAUCUAUUUUCA